AGGUCGGCUCGCCUACCGGUGGGGGCAACGGUCUGUAAAACCGCCGCUUAUUGCAUUGCUGGUUCAAGUCCAGCCCGACCUACCA
rnacentral:tRNA from 1 species